rnacentral:rRNA from 1 species
AUUGAACGCUGGCGGCAGGCUUAACACAUGCAAGUCGAGCGGGGUGAUGGUGCUUGCACUAUCACUUAGCGGCGGACUGGUGAGUAAUGCUUAGGAAUCUGCCUAUUAGUGGGGGACAACAUCUCGAAAGGGAUGCUAAUACCGCAUACGUCCUACGGGAGAAAGCAGGGGAUCACUUGUGACCUUGCGCUAAUAGAUGAGCCUAAGUCGGAUUAGCUAGUUGGUGGGGUAAAGGCCUACCAAGGCGACGAUCUGUAGCGGGUCUGAGAGGAUGAGCAGCCACACUGGGACUGAGACACGGCCCAGACUCCUACGGGAGGCAGCAGUGGGGAAUAUUGGACAAUGGGGGGAACCCUGAUCCAGCCAUGCCGCGUGUGUGAAGAAGGCCUUAUGGUUGUAAAGCACUUUAAGCGAGGAGGAGGCUCUUUUGGUUAAUACCCAAGAUGAGUGGACGUUACUCGCAGAAUAAGCACCGGCUAACUCUGUGCCAGCAGCCGCCGUAA